rnacentral:lncRNA from 1 species
AGGAGAUCUACAGCAUGCCUUGCUACUUUAUCUUUCUGAAGGGAGGAAAAAUAUUUUCCUCCUUUUGGAUACUUUCAGUUGCUUAUUUUCUUUUAUUUUAUCUUAUUUUCCCUGGAGCUCUUCACAUCAGUGAUGAUUGAUAUCUAUGUAUUUUAGGUGCAUCAGUCAGCUUUUCAAUCAGCUGUGCGUGAAGCCCGAGCUGACAGCUCUCUGCUAUGACUGGUAUGUGCAAUUGGAUGCUGCUUUGGCUUUCAUUUUUAUUUGGCAAUGAAGAGGUUGUUUUUGGAGACAUGGAAUACCAUCAGGCUGGGACAGACUGCACAGACCACUGCUUGCACGCCCUUGGAGCCUGACUGUGAGAGGAAGAAAACAAAGCUGGUAAACGAGCAUUUCACUCCGAGGAGAAACACGGCUGUGAAGGGCAGAUUUGACUCUGGGUUUCGGCAGGCUGUUCUCCAGCCAUCUUCCAUUCAUGCUCCAGACAUCACUGGGAACAAGAGCUAAACAGUUCCUGGGCUGUUUCAUAACGGAGAAAUGAGCCUCUGUGAGAGCUCUGGUCUCUGUCUUCCAACUGCUUCCUCCAGGACUGCAGUCCUCACCCAGGCUCAUGGUGAGCACCCAACCAACCUUGCUACUUGCCCUCAUUUUCUUUCCUUUCCUUGGUCCGUGCACUAAUGAACAGAGUUACAAACUCAUCACUCUUUACACUACUACAAUAAUGGAGCUUUUAUAUCAUAACACAGAAUGGCCUGGGUUGAAAAGGACGAUGAUAAUCAUUUAGAUUCAGCCCCCCUGUUGUGUGCAAGGUUGCCAACCACUAGAGAAAGAAGAGGUCUGCCAUAUCAGACAAUGCUUUCUACCACGUCCUAAGCCCUUCUGAAGAUGGCUCAGGCACAGCUAACUUCAUGUUCCUCUUUGAGCUGCUCAAGUCCAUUUAUUUUCAUAGAAUUGUAGAGUUUCAGUUGCAAGGGACCUUUAAAGGUCUCCUGGUUUAACUCCUCUGCAAUGAACAGUGAUCCAUGGCAGUUGCUUCCUCUGCCUGAACAGGGCUUCAGCACAGUCCCCAGCGGCCCUUCAUGUGGUGCUGACACAGG